UAUUACCGCGGCUGCUGGCACAGAGUUAGCCGUGGCUUAUUCAUCGGGUACCGUCAUUAUCUUCCCCGACAAAAGGAGUUUACAAUCCGAAGACCUUCAUCCUCCACGCGGCGUCGCUGCGUCAGGCUUUCGCCCAUUGCGCAAUAUUCCUCACUGCUGCCUCCCGUAGGAAUCUC
rnacentral:rRNA from 1 species